rnacentral:tRNA from 1 species
GAGGAUUUAGCUUAAAUAAAGUGAAUGAUUUGCAAUCAUUAGAUGUAGAAUGAAGGUCUGCAGUCC